AGCUCCAAUAGCGUAUAUUAAAGUUGCUGCAGUUAAAAAGCUCGUAGUUGCAUUUCCGAGGCAAGGGAUUAGUCCGACCUUUGGUGGGUAUUUAAUCCUCUUGCCUCGUCCUUGAGUGGUGCUUCUUGGUAUUAAGUUAUCGAGGAGAUAGCCGCUCAUCGUUUACUGUGAGAAAAUUAGAGUGUUCAAAGCAGGCUUAUGCCGUUGAAUAUAUUAGCAUGGAAUAAUAAGAUAGGACCUCGGUACUAUUUUGGUGGUUUGAGAACCAAGGUAAUGAUGAAUAGGGACAGUUGGGGGUAUUCGUAUUCAGUUGUCAGAGGUGAAAUUCUUAGAUUUACGGAAGACGAACUACUGCGAAAGCAUUUACCAAGGAUGUUGGCA
rnacentral:rRNA from 1 species